GUUUUAAUAGUUUAAAUAUAAAAAACAUUGGUCUUGUAAACCAAAAAUGAAAAUAAGUCUUAAAACU
rnacentral:tRNA from 1 species